rnacentral:rRNA from 1 species
GAUGAACGCUGGCGGCGUGCUUAACACAUGCAAGUCGAACGAGAAAUGUAGACGGAAACCUUCGGGCGGAAGCCUUCAUUUCGAGUGGCGGACGGGUGAGUAACGCGUGGGUAACCUGCCUCAUACAGGGGGAUAACAGUUGGAAACGACUGUUAAUACCGCAUAAGACCACAGCAUCGCAUGAUGCGGGGGUAAAAACUCCGGUGGUAUGAGAUGGACCCGCGUUCGAUUAGCCAGUUGGCGGGGUAACGGCCCACCAAAGCGACGAUCGAUAGCCGAUCUGAGAGGAUGACCGGCCACAUUGGGACUGAGACACGGCCCAAACUCCUACGGGAGGCAGCAGUGGGGAAUAUUGCACAAUGGGGGAAACCCUGAUGCAGCGACGCCGCGUGAGAGAAGAAGUACUUCGGUAUGUAAAGCUCUAUCAGCAGGGAAGAAAAUGACGGUACCUGAGUAAGAAGCCCCGGCUAACUACGUG